CCUCGAGACGCCAUCUCGACGAAUCAUAAGUGGGUGAAAUAAUAGCAAUAGCAACACCAGAAUCGUUGAUUGCAUCCAUAAGAUCUGUUCGAUUUUUCCGGUGAGCUUCGAGGUCAUCGAAAGUUGUUGUCCGAGUUUCCGUUUCAGUCGCAAGCAGGGCCGGAUGGAGGGUAAGGCUGCUCAAGCCAUUGCCUUGGGCCCCAAAUUCUAGAGGGUCCCAAAAAUAUUAUACUAUAUUAUUAUGUAGAAAAAUUAACCCAAAUAGUUAUCCACCCAACCACUUAAAUCAAAAAUAGCCGAUGAAGGUAUAACAUAUGCAUAAUUUAUGUAUUAUAUAUGAAUAAUUGUGUAUAAUCAACGUAUAAUCUAUGUAUAUGAUUAGAAAAAGUAAAUAGUGAAUAUGACCGGCUAUUUGUGUAAAGAUCCCUAUUAUAUAUUAGUAUAUAUCUUAUGCGAUUACUCUUAAGAGUCCAAAUUUUAAUAUUUGGUUAAGAAUGCACAGAUGAGUGAGUAAAGAGCGAUAAAUCUCUGUCUUGUUAGUAGUAUAUUUAUUUUCCUCUUCUGUUCUAAUUUUUCCUCCUUUCACAUGACUUUGAGAUUUCGCUUUCCAAUUUCAAGAUUUGUUUCUUUGAUUUAACUACUUUCUAAUGUUUAAUUGACUCAUUGAUUAGAACAUGAGAUCUUUUGUGUCUCACUGUUACCUGAAUUUUGUGAAAUAGGCCUCUUAAUACAAUUUGGCUUUAGGCCACUAAUUUCGUUGAGCCGCCCCUGAUCGCAAGUCGAGGUACUGUCGUUGGCUUCUGGUUUGAGUUCCGUUCGCGGUUCCGCUUCGAGUUCGCCAACUCUGAUUGGUUUCUGGUUGGAAAUCCAUGUACGCUUCUAAAAGCUUCGACGAAAAUCCGAUUAUGCUAUUCUAAGGUUCAAUUAUUCACUCCUCUGUUCAUUUUGUUCCUAUUUAAUUUUAUGUGUUGUUUUGGCAAUAUGGCUCCUUGCUUCGUGAUCAAUCAUUGCUCUUAGUGAUUUUUUUAUAUUUUUUAUCACUGUUCAAAUCUGCAUGGAUUCAGCUUUGUUUUGAGCAAAUUAAUUAAGGA
rnacentral:lncRNA from 1 species